rnacentral:rRNA from 1 species
UACGUAGGGUGCAAGCGUUGUCCGGAAUUAUUGGGCGUAAAGAGCUCGUAGGCGGUCUGUCGCGUCGGCUGUGAAACCCUGAGGCUCAACCUCAGGCCUGCAGUCGAUACGGGCAGACUAGAGUGCGGUAGGGGAGACUGGAAUUCCUGGUGUAGCGGUGAAAUGCGCAGAUAUCAGGAGGAACACCGGUGGCGAAGGCGGGUCUCUGGGCCGUAACUGACGCUGGAGGAGCGAAAGCGUGGGGAGCGAACAGG